rnacentral:lncRNA from 1 species
GUCACACCCUCCAUGGAACUGGAACAGUCAAGACAAAUAAUCACUUCGUUCUUUCCACGGAGGUCAGGGAGGACGUCCGCAAGCUCCGGUUGAAAGACAAGCAUGCAGGCCUAAAGGGAGAAGGAGGCAGUGGAUCAGAGGUUCUCGCAGCUUACAUGGGAAAAUACUCUCAAUGCCAAAAGCUUCUAGGACCCGUGAGAGGCUCAGCAGGGUGCUACAGUGCCAGGGAUGAAGAAGAUGGCCACAGGACUCUGGAUGCUGAGUUCCGUGAUGUAGGUGAUUUUGAUGAGGACUUUAGCCCGAGGGGACCCUGUUGACUGACCUGAGGACCGGGCCAUGACUGGAGCAUGGGAAAAAGACAUUUUACAGAGGGAUACUGUCUACUCCCAAUGUGUGUGUUCUCUUAUCAGUCUGGCAGUCGAGUGCCUGGUGGCAGUACCAGUUCUUCUGCUUCACACAACAGCGACUUCAUUUCCUCCUUUAGACAACGCACGUGGCCACAGAAGAUACACACCUGGGCUACGAAGUCUAUUACUCUUCCCUUAAUGUGAACACUGUCAAGAGGAACAGGAUUCGCAGAUGCAUCCUGAAGGCCGGCUUUGAUGUUUGUGAAGGGCUUGAUGUCUGGUAACUGGAAAUCUACAAGUUACAAACACAACGUCAGCUUCAGAACAAGCAUGGCUCCGUCUUCAUCGUUGGCAUCCUUACUACUUGCUCUAUUAUUGAGACAUUAUACUUCAGCAGAGAUGGACAAAUAGUAUUACACUCAUAGUAUUCGAUGAGCUUUUUGUUCAAGAUAAGACUUCUCUGUGUAGCUCGCCUGAUCCACUCUCAAAUGGAAAGCUGCCUGUCUCGGUAGCACAAGAGCUGGGAUUCGAGCUAUGUGCCACCACAUCUAGCUGUUAUUUUAUCAUUUGGUUUUUGUUUUGUCUUUUUGACUUUGUUGUGGCCAUUGAGGAUUGAACCAGAGGCCUCAUGCACACAAGGCAAGCACUCUACCAACCGAGCCACACCCAACUCUACCAGCUGAGCCACACUCAGAGCCAGUGUAAUUUUUAAUGCCCAGUUAUAAAAAGUAAAUCCAAUGAGGAAAGCAUUCUCAAAAUAAUUUCUACUUUUUUCAUUACAAAUUGUAAGAGAUAGCUUAGUGAAUAAAGGCACUUGUUCUCAAGCCUGUACCUUGAGCUUGGUCCCUAAGUGCCAUAUGGGAAAGAACUGCUUAUUAUAGGCUGCCUUCUGAUCUACACAAGUGUACACACACAAUAACCUUUAAAAUUUUUAUUUAUUUUGUGUUAGAGAUCAAAAUAGUACCUGGAUCUUCUUUCUUUUCAAAGAACCAACUCUUUGUUUCAUUGAUUCUUUGUGUUGUUUCCAUUUUAAAAUUAUUUAAAAAUUUUUUAUUUCAUAU